rnacentral:rRNA from 1 species
GACGAACGCUGGCGGCGCGCUUAACACAUGCAAGUCGAACGGAAAGGCCUGCUUUCCCUUGUGGAUUGCGGGUACUCGAGUGGCGAACGGGUGAGUAACACGUGAGUGAUCUGCCCCCAACUUGGGUAUAAGCCUGGGAAACUGGGUCUAAUUCCCGAUAGGACUGCAGGGUGGUGCCUGUGGUGGAAAACGAUUUUCUAGUGGUUGGGGAUGAGCUCGCGGCCUAUCAGCUUGUUGGUGGGGUAAUGGCCUACCAAGGCGGCGACGGGUAGCCGGCCUGGGGGGGGGGGAGGGCACAAUGGGGCCGGGGUUCGGCCCAAGAUUCCACCGGAGGGAAGCGGGGGGAAUAAUGCACCAUGGGGCGGAACCUGGAGGAGCGGAGGCGGGUGGGGGGUUGCCGCCUUUCGGUUGGAAACUCCUUUCGACCGCGAGGAAGCCACCUGGUUGGAAGGGUGGUGACGGUAGUGGUAGAAGAAGCACCGGCUAACUACG